rnacentral:lncRNA from 1 species
GUGACAUAUUGUUAUUGUACGAUUCUUUUUUUUUCUUUAUUAUUCCACACUUUUUUGUCCAGACUAUUUCUCGGAAUUGCAUGGACCAAUGAUGAUGGAAGUAUACCAUAAUGUUAACCCCCAUGUGCAGAUGUGCAAUCGGGGGUUGGCAUUUCCAAGAUGGCUGUCGUUGUCAUGGAAACAGAAAUAAUGUGAAAAAUCGGAAAGUGUUCCAAAAUGAAUAAAACUUUGUGGAAAUGUUACUUGGCAUGCAAAGACUUGAAAUCCAUCUUUGGAAUUUCCAAAAUGGCGGCCGUUGCCAUAGAAACAGUACAAACAUCCAAAUUUUCAAAAUGCUUUAAAUUUUCGGAAAAUUCGCAAAAUGAUGUAUUGUAAAGUGAAUUAAGUUAAUUCAAUGUUAAAAGUUUCGAAAUGUCUGCCACUUAGUGGCAAUUGGCGGACCAGGGUGACAUCCGCUAUUGCUUGCAAUGGCAAUUCUAGUUUUA